ACGAGAAACCCGUAUAAUCCAAGACUCGAUCAAGAUCUAAAGGUAGAAGCAAAUGUAAGUAUGAAUUUAAGUAUGUUUAUGAAGAAACUAACAUUAUGUUGUGUGUAAGAUAAGCAUAGUUGUUUGGAUGAGGAUGAUCCACGACUGUGGUCUCGGACUGACACCAAGGCAUGUAAUAAGACCAUUGCCCAGGUCAGUGAAAGAAUGUUCAUAAGCGAAAGCUCGUCACACGGAUAAACGAGGUCGAUACGAAACAUGGUAUGGAUGGGGACGAAGAGGACCGACUCGUUGCUGCAUGUUCAAGUACUGCACCAAGGUAGUAAGGUUAGCAAAUUAUUUAAUAUAUGAAGGUACGAUGCUCGAAUCCCUCAAACCUACGCUCUCGUGAAAGUGUGUUCGUUUCUAAGCGCCACGCAAGUAAGUGAUUUAAGGAUUUCGAGCUAUGCUUUUAGAUGAAAACGGAAAUGGGUUAUGGAUAAAUUACUAUUAUAACCUGGGUUGGGAUGUUAUGGGAUGUUAGGGAAGGUUUCGGGACUGCCCGAGACCAUUUCUGGUUGGAAAAAAAAAAGAGACCCGGGAACAAAAAAAUUUUGGUCAAACAGCGUCUGCACACCGGAGAGCCCGUCGGCGACGGCCUUUAUGCCGUCGGCGACGGCACCCCUCCACCUGACGCGCUAACUGUCUGUCUACGGGCAAUGUUUAGCGACGGGACCUUCCCGAGCCCGUCGGCGACGCACCAUGUGCCGUCGGCGACGGGUCCCCCUUAUCUGCUUAUGCUGAAAUUGUUUGUUUAUUAGGCUAAGGUCCUUAAUUCAGUUCUAGCAUUCAUUAAACACUAAGAACACCCCAGAUUGAUUAUGAAGCUAGGAAAUUCAAGACAACUAUCGUGUUUUAAUGAUGAAUGUGUGGGAAGUUAUGUAUGCGAACGAAUGAAAUAAGUAACACAUCUAGAAUGUUUGUAAAGAAAGAUUGGGUAAGUUUAUAAAAAUUUUACGCUAUCAUUGAGAAAGUACCUCCGUAUAAAUAAGUACGAUAUGUUAAAUGUGUACGAAUGAACGAGAUUGAAUGCGGAAAUGAAUAAAAUAAUGAUGACUAGGGAUUGGUUUUCGCAAAGAAGUUUGAAAUCUUGAUAAGUAUGAAUAAUAUGUCAGGAUGCUAGUUUCAAAUUAUGGACUAUGGGAUCUGUGAUUAGGCAAUUUCUCACAACAUGCUUAUGUAAGUCGUCCAAUGUCACUUGAAUGAAUGAACGAACGAAGAAUAAAACUAGAUGGGUUAUAGAAGAAAUGAAAGAGGUUUCGGGGACGAAACCUUCUUUAAGGGGGAUAGAUUUGUAACACCCCAAAACACGAAUUAUUAAAUUCGUUAGUAGGUUACCUUGGGUAAUUAGAUGAAGUACAACAACUAAGUUAUUAAACUUAGUUAAAUGUCUAAUAAAUAAGUAAAGGAAUGAAGUUUGUGGCAACUAUGAUGAUGUGUUAGAGUUGAGGGACCUAGAUUGCCAUAAUGUAAACUAAAAUUUAAUAAAAAAGAAAGAAAAAUAAAACCACAACACACACUGUGCGUGUGUGUGGUCGAUCACACAAGGCAGAGGGAAAGGGGUAAACCCUAAUUCUCAAGAAAUCUCCAAAUUGAAAAGGGAAUUGAAGGUUUUUAGGAUGCAUGUAUCAAGAUUAUCGAUCUCCUAAGUGUUCUUCACUAUCAAGAACGUGUCAAGGAGAGGUCAAGCAUAGGAGGAUAACGGGUCAAGAUAAGGCAAGGUGACAAAUACACUUAAUGGAGUACUCGAGGUAAGUGAAUUUCGAUUCACUUUUUAGUAGGUUUAAUAGAUUUUAAUACUUAUGUUCACGAAACAUCAUGAAAGAACAUGUAAUAAUCAGAAGUACAAAGCCAAUAAUGCCUCAUUAUUGAGGAAGGUUGUAUUAAGCCGAAAGUAAAUUGGUGGGUUUAAACGGGUCGAAUUUUAUGUGCAUAUGUUGCGUAAUGUAAUGAAAUUCGUUAUGGUUAAGACCUUGGGUAGGAAUUUUUAGUCAUUAUGUAAGGGGAACACUUCCCGGACCAUUAGGAACAAGUUUUAUAUGAUUCGGUUGUCGGUUAGUUAAUGAACGGAUUGUUUCAUGUUAGUGUAGGAAAUUUUAUAAGUAUAUGUGUAUAGGAACCCAAAGGGCACGUGGGUUGAAUCAUAGAUUGUUUAUACUAUGUAAAGUUGUGAAAGUGACAUUCCGGCAUAAACCUACAUGUAAAAGAAGCUUGUGUAUAUAUUCGUGAUUAAUUGAUUGUGCGUAGGAAGGAACAUUGGCAUGUAUGAAGGUACGCAUGUAUAUGUAAGUGUGUAUAUAUAUAUAUAUAUGUAUGUAUGUAUGAUAAUAAGUACGUAGGUGUGAAUGUAUGUGUGAAUGAAUGUUCAAUGCUUAAGACAUAUGCAUGAACGUUAUCAAAGUGUUCGAGUAUUAAUGGUUACUAAUGAUGUGCGUUGAGUUGGAAUGUAAUGUAGGUAUGGGAUCGUUGGCUUCAUGAAGAAAUGGAGCUGGAUUUGGAUAAGAGUAUUUAAGAAAGCGCUUGGACAAUUCCACGACUACUUUAUAGAAUGCUCUACGAAAUUCUAAUAUAUAGUUUAAUGUUGUAUGGUAUGUUAAUGACUAAUGGUUUGGUUGUACGUGGUGUCCACAGGUAUCACUUGGGUUUUCUCUACAUUUAUUGAAGUGAAGCGGACUUAGUUCGAGUUGAGAGCAAGGAUUGUACGGGGUAGAAUGGUCACAUAGUGUAACUCAUAUAGAUUUUGAAGUAUUUGAACCUUCAUGUUUUUGAUAUGUCUAUUAAAGAACGAAAUUUUUGGGCUCUUGUUUUCCGCUGCGUCGUAUUUUAAGUUAUUAUACGUUAGUCUUACAGGGAAUUGUUCUUAUUACGAACGGGUCAUGCCCGAAUUUUGUUAAAUAAUAGUAUGAUAAUAUUACA